rnacentral:lncRNA from 1 species
CCAACGCGAGCACUCUGCCCCCGUGCUCAUCAGCCCCCUUGCUUCUUCCCCCAGGAUGGGGGAAGAAUUCAGCCAUUGACCUGUCACGCGAAUGGAAACAGACCCACAAGACUAAGGUGAGGCCCGAAGGGACCAGGCUGCAAUCACUGAGACGGGGGACAAAACAUUUAUACUCGUUACAGUAAUUUUCUUACUCUUUCUUAUUACAGAACCAUGUGGAAAAUGUUAUGGAUACUCAGAUAAGGGGAUGCUAAACCCUUCCGGGAUGAAUUGGACGGAACUGCAAGAAGUUAUUUCAAAGCCUAUAGGCUCAGGCUGGAGAAGCCAAUUCACCUUCAGAAGGAAUGCAAUGGGCUAAAGAAUAUAUCUUAGGGUGCUGGUGAAAGAAGCAGAGAAGUAAAGGUAUGCUGUUAAUAAGUGUUUUAUGUUUCAAUAUUGUAUAGUUC